ensembl:antisense Gm15755 predicted gene 15755
GGAUCACCACCGAGACCCUGGGACAGGGGCCUACCCACGUCACCGCUCAGUGAAUUUGCCUGGCUUUUUGGGUGUCGGCGACUAACUGAUGUGACCCAGGUUGGGGAAGCCAGUAGAAGCGGAAACAGCAGGUAUCCCAGGACGCCCAAGCCGGAAGUGAGGGCGGCCAUGAAGCCAGAGUCGCAGCCCAGCAGGAGAGGGCAGCUGACCAGGAAAUGUGACAGCGCCUCCACUGGUGAGGACGUGAACUGGACACGUGACGGCCCCUGGAUCCUGGAUGCGUUGGUGGCAUCCCCAGCAGGUGACUUUGAACUAGCGGAUGUGGAUGGAAGGAACCUGAACUGUGUGGAGGCUGAUACUGCAGAUUGCCAACAGGACCACUCUGCCAACAGGGCAGGAUGCCAGACGACCUAACCUCACCUCAGCCCAGGAGCAAAGACGAAAGAAACCUGAGAGGAGAUAUGGUGAAGGAGAAGCAGCCCAAAAACAGAUGUGACUUGCCUGGGCUUGCCCAGUUCUUAGGCCUAGUCUCCUGAACUGUUGAUGUUCUGAAGCCUGUCAUGGAGUCAGCCCAGCCUUCUCAUUUGGACCAUAUUCUCCUCACUAUGUGCUGGUUAGUUUCUUGACACAAACUAAGGUUGUCUGGGAAGAAGAAACUG